rnacentral:rRNA from 1 species
CAGUAGCCACGGGAAUACGUAGGUGACAAGCGUUGUCCGGAAUUAUUGGGCGUAAAGGGCUCGCAGGCGGUUUCUUAAGUCUGAUGUGAAAGCCCCCGGCUCAACCGGGGAGGGUCAUUGGAGACUGGGAAACUUGAGUGCAGAAGAGGAGAGUGGAAUUCCACGUGUAGCGGUGAAAUGCGUAGAGAUGUGGAGGAACACCAGUGGCGAAGGCGACUCUCUGGUCUGUAACUGACGCUGAGGAGCGAAAGCGUGGGGAGCGAACAGGAUUAGAUCCCCUGUAGUCCCUGUCUCUUAUACA